rnacentral:rRNA from 1 species
GAUGAACGCUAGCGGGAGGCCUAACACAUGCAAGCCGAGCGGUAUUGUUUCUUCGGAAAUGAGAGAGCGGCGUACGGGUGCGUAACACGUGUGCAACCUGCCUUUACCUGGGGGAUAGCCUUUCGAAAGGAAGAUUAAUACUCCAUAAUAUAUUGAACGGCAUCGUUUAAUAUUGAAAGCUCCGGCGGAUAGAGAUGGGCACGCGCAAGAUUAGCUAGUUGGUGAGGUAACGGCUCACCAAGGCGAUGAUCUUUAGGGGGCCUGAGAGGGUGAUCCCCCACACUGGUACUGAGACACGGACCAGACUCCUACGGGAGGCAGCAGUGAGGAAUAUUGGUCAAUGGGUGCAAGCCUGAACCAGCCAUCCCGCGUGAAGGACGACUGCCCUAUGGGUUGUAAACUUCUUUUGUAUAGGGAUAAACCUACCCUCGUAAGGGUAGCUGAAGGUACUAUACGAAUAAGCACCGGCUAACUCCGUGCCAGCCGCCGCUGUAA